UUCUCUGACAGAUACUAACAACUGAAGUGAAUUAAAACUGAGACAGGGAGGCCACAUCUUUAAAGGCAAGCAGUAGCUGCAGAAAGUGCAUCUGCUUGCUGCACAUUUGACAGGAUUAGGUGACUCAGAUCUGUAAUGCUGGGAAUCAAACAAUCUCUGACUUUGAUAAUUUCCAAGGGCUUUGUCUCUUGUGUAUGUUAGGAUCAAUCUGCCUUGCUGGGCCAAUGUACAAUAGGGUUUUAAUUAUACCCAUGAGCAACUGAGACCUUGCAUAUAGCCAGAGGCUGACUGGUAAGAAUCUGCUCUGCUGACAACUUUAUUAACUCUAUUUGCCUCUGAUGGAGGAGUGCAUGGUUUCCAAUUGUAUCAGAAAUAGGAACCUAUUGAAGCCCAUUUACCCAGCAGAUCUGCAUAGAGAGGAUUAUUGGAACAUGGGCCUGAGUGCAGGUGUCUGAGAUGGUGUGAAUAUGGCUGUACUUGGGUGAGGUCUUUUGCUCCACCCCUUGGCAUUCCUUUAAAUACCCUAGGCCAGAUGGAUUAAAAUCCAGGCAAUCAUGAGGCUGAUGCAUUUUAAAUCUGGUUCUCUGCCCUCUAGACUUCUAAAUAAUAUUUCCUGCUGCUUCUAAGAAAGAGUACUCUGAAAAUGUGGGAGUCUGGAAUGCCCCUCUAAUGGGAACCAAGAGGGAGAGUGAUCUCAAAUCCACCAAUGGAAAGCAAAUCCUGGGGUACUCUUUGAGAUCUGCUUCAGAGUUGCUGAGUCAUUUCACCCUCCCAACUAAAUGUGUGCUGCAGCCGAAACAACAAAACUGAAAGUGGAUGACAGGAAAUGAUGUAAUGUUUCCUAGGCCCUCAAAGGAGAAGAGCAUCACGUGUGUUUUCAUUAAACUUGAAUGUGGAUAAGAACCAGUAAGGAGAGUAAACUCAUUCCCAGCAAUGCAAACCAAAUCCUGUGGUAAUCUUGGAAAUAUCCAUCAGUGUUUCUGAUACAUUUCUUCCUAUGCCUAAAUGUUUCCUGCAGAAGCCACAAAACUGAAUGGGCUAAGAAGUUGAAAAAAAUCAUGUGCAAGAGAUUUCUGUAUGCAGAACACAGUGAUAAUGGAAACCAAGAAUUCAAAGUUGAACCUGUGAGUACCUAAAAGGCAUCAGGAUGAAAACGAGUAAUUUUCCUGUGCUAUACUUUAUUUUCCAUACUUUAUUACCUUUGGUGACAGAUAGAGAAGUGACUGCCAAUGCUACUGCUCCAUAUUUUCGGUGACACUAAUGUUCAUGAAUAAAAGUACAAUGCCAUAGUCAUUCACAGAGUAAAUCUCCCAGGGCAGAGGAAAGAGCAGGAUUUUGCUAGUCUCUGGCAGGUACUGAGGCCUCAAGAAAAUCAUCUUCCUUGCCCAUAGAGCAGGACUUCAAGACUGACACAAGGAUGCCAUAUCUGUAAUGAGAGCAGUAGCUUCAGAAGAAGGAAAGAGCAGGACUCCCCUAGUCUCUGCCAGAACCUAAAGCCUGAAGUGAAUUCAAAACAAGGGAGGGAGACCACACCUUUUAAAGAGAAGCAGUGGCUGCAGAUUCAGGAAUCUGCUUGCUGCACAUUGCACAGGAUCAGAUGAUUCAGAUUUGUAAUGCUGGAAUCAAACAGUUGUUGAUUUGCUAAUUUCCCCGGAUCUGUCUCCCCUUGUGUUACAGGAGCAAGCUGCCUUGUGGGCACAAAUUAAUAAUGGUAUGUUGGUGUGCUCAUGAGCAACUGAGUCCCAGAAUACAGCCACAGGCUGACUGCUGAGAAACUGCAACAACUUUAUGAGCUCCUGUUGCUUCUGAUGGAGGAGGGUGUGCAUUCAAAUCUUGUUUGGAAUAGGAACCUGUUGGAGCCCAUUGAAGCUUUACCCAGCAGGACUGCUUAGAGAGGAUGAUUGGAACAUGGAUCUGAGUGCAGGUGUCUGAGAUGACCUGCACAUCUUCUGUGCUGAGGGGGGAGGUCUUUUGCUCCACCCCUUGGCAUUGCUUUAAAUACCCAAGGGCAGAGGCAGUAGAUACUUGAUGGAUUAGGUACAGGCACUCUUAAGUCAUGUAUUUUCUAUGUAUUUCUCUCUCCUAAAUCCUUUCAAAUAAUAUUUCCUGCUGCUUCUACUCAAGAAUUUUCUAGGGAAAUGAGGGAUGGAACAUGGCCCAAACCACAGGAAGCAAUAUGGAGAGAGAACCCAAUUCCACCAAUGGAAAGCAAAUCCUGGGGUACUCUUUGAGAUCUCCUUCAGAGCUGCUGAUUCAUUUCACCCUCCCAACUAAAUGUGUGCUGCA